UGGGCCACGUUGGAGCCCGUUUUGAGAUACCGCGGAUGCACUGGGCCAAGAGACCCAACAACUAAUGCAGAGAGCCAGGUUUACACACGUACUCGAUUAUUUUUUCUCUUUCCGCAGCAGUGGAGUCGAACUCCAUCCAGCUUCCUCGCACAGAUUUGGCGCGGCGCCGGAGCUGACACGAUCUCCUACUCCGCCUCUCGGUAAUCGGAUGCCUGGACCUCAGUAAGAGCUUCGGGAUACUUUCGCGUUCAUCUCGAUCCAAGGCGUCGUUUCAAGCUAGAUCUGGCGCAGAGAUGAGGCUCAUGUCCACGAAGCGGCACCGGCACCGGCACCAUCACCGCCGGCAAAUCCAGGACGAUGAUCAGUACGCCAACACUACCUAGCAAAUUCGUCCACCUCAAAUACUUGCGCUUUACUCUACAUGAAGAUGAGGCUAUUUCACCAGCCUACGAUUAUCUUUCUCUAGUUUCUUUUCUUGAAGCUUCUCCUUGCUUGGAGACCUUCAUCUUUCAAGUGAUCCAGCAGGGUAUGAAGCAUGAUUCGAUCAUUGGAGAUUCCUCACAUCUGAGACAGCUGCCAGAACAUCGCCAUGACAAGCUAAAGAGUGUGGCAAUUGGUGGCUUCUGCUCUGCCAAGAGCUUGGUCGAGUUGACAUGUCAUAUUGUUGAGAAUGCAACAUCACUUGAGUUCCUUUUAUUGGAUACCACUCAAGGUAGUUUCAGCUCUGAUGGGUGUUCCGUGGAUAAACCUGGCAAAUGUGUCGCUAUGGGGAGGGAUAUCCUCUUGGAGGCAUGUAGAGCUCGUUUGGCUAUCAGAACACACAUUGAGGGAAUAAUUCCCUCUAGAGUUAAAUUAGAUGUUGUCGAGCCUUGCAGUCGAUGCCAUGAUGUUCAGUAUAUAGAUAAAGUUAGCAUCGCUGUGUAAUGUUCAAUCAUGUAAACAUUAAAUUCUUGUGUAAUGUUUAAUCUAGCUCAUGAGUAUUUAUUUGAGAAUGGAAUUGGUGAUUAGUUCAUGAGUAUUUAUUUUAUAUUUCUUGACCUUUUCCCUCUGUCAUCUCUUGUCGAUUUAUAUUUAAUCUCUAGGUACAGUUCCUUUAUCAAGUCUCUGCUGUCCAGAGGAUCCGCUCACAUAUACUAAUUGUUCCUUUUUUUUCUCCAUAGACUAAUUGCAUUUAAACCGAUUGUUUUGGGCUGCUCAGCUGAUAUAAACUGCAGCUCAAAUGAUUUAAUGAUUUCUCUUUUCACCUUUUGCUUCAGGCUAUAAUUACACACCUUACAGAGAUACUCUAUCCAAGUCAAGUGAUAUUCAUGAAGGAAGAAAAAUGAGGAUAUACAUUCUUCAAAUAGAACGAAGCUAUUGACAUGUCAUCUCGCAAACGCACUGGGCCUCCCACCCCAUUCCAAGAUAUAAGCAACGGCCAAGACUUGGGUAAGUAACAGCCACCGGCACCUACUAAAUGCCUCAUAUUAUUUUAGUGUAAUGAACGCUA